AAAAGAGUGACAAUCUUUCUGAGAUUCUUUGCUUCGUGGCAUGUCUCCAUUAGCAGUCUGCUGUCGUGGAAGGCGAAACAUAUGACUUGCUGCACAUGUGAGAGAAUGUCCAUAUUGCAAAGCCUGCUAGCCUCGAUCAAUGGCAGAUGAUCAUUCUGGGGUUUCUCAAUCACAUGUUUGACUUUGGAUAACAAUUCCUGGCUCUCUGGUGGUUGCAUUUUCAGACUCUGGGGCAAGAUUACAGUAAGCAGUUCGGGCUUCUCUGCCCUUAAAGCGCCUCUGAUAACAGCAGCAUUAGUCCCAGAUGCUCCUGAUGUAAAUAUGUGAUUUUUUGUUAUCACCAUAGCAUAGCUAAGGAUCUCGAUCAAUUGCUGAUGCAUGAAUCCCAUGUUACGAGUUCCAAAGAAACCGAUUGCUCUAGG
rnacentral:misc_RNA from 1 species